UACAGAGGGUGCGAGCGUUAAUCGGAGUUACUGGGCGUAAAGGGCACGUAGGCGGUUAUGUAAGUCAGUUGUGAAAUCCCCGGGCUUAACCUGGGAACUGCAAUUGAAACUGUGUGACUAGAGUCGAAGAGAGGGAAGCGGAAUUUCCGGGUGUAGCGGUGAAAUGCGUAGAUAUCGGAAGGAACACCCGUGGCGAAGGCGGCUUCCUGGCUUCAGACUGACGCUGAGGUGCGAAAGCGUGGGUAGCGGAACAAGG
rnacentral:rRNA from 1 species